GUCCAAGCGGUAAACUAUGGGUACUAGGUGUCGGGGGUAUCGACCCCCUCGGUGCCGCAGCUAACGCAAUAAGUACCCCGCCUGGGGAGUACGAUCGCAAGAUUGAAACUCAAAGGAAUUGACGGGGGCCCCGCACAAGCGGUGGAGUAUGUGGUUUAAUUCGACGCAACGCGCAGAACCUUACCUGGGCUUGACAUGCUUGGGACCGGCGGUGAAAGUCGCCUUCCUCUUCGGAGGCCGAAGCACAGGUGCUGCAUGGCUGUCGU
rnacentral:rRNA from 1 species